rnacentral:lncRNA from 1 species
GGUAAGAUGGCAUUCUGAGGAGGAGCCUUGUGAUUAGGGAAUGGGAAUAAGCCAGAACAACAGCAACAACAAAAGUAGCUUGUGAGUACCUGGUACCAGAGUGCUGACUUUUUCUUACUUGUGCCUGACAAGUCAUAAUGCCUAAGAACUACCACCAGGGGUGUCACAAUGGAGAGUAACGUACACUAGAAGCACCUAAUGAGGAAUUAAGAGUGGGAUGUGUGCUGGAAAGGGUUCACACAUAUAAUCCCAGCACUUUGGGAGGCUGAGGUAGGAAGAUCGCUGGAACCCAGGAGUUCAAGACCAUCCUGGGUAAGAUAACAGCACCUCAGAGAAGAUUUGGAAAAUAAAUGAGCUGAUGAGAGCAAUUUUCUGCUUCCUGGGCCACCACAGUCUUCUUUGCUGUUUUUGAUUGCAACCAUUUUCAGAGAAGAAUCAACACCAAAGAUUACAUGUAUAUAAAUUACCUAGUAACGAGCAUGACCUCUGUCCAAGCAGAAGGCAAGCAGGGGAGAAGAUUUAGCUGCUCAACUACAGUUAUUCUCUCAACCCAAGCUAAGGUAGUUGGUGCCAUACAUUUCCCACAGGACUACUAUUUUCCAAUAUCAACAUCUUUAAUUUAUUUAUUUAUUUUUGUUUUAGUGCACUAGCUGGAAGUUUCGAUAUAAUGUUAAAUACAAAGGAUGAGAGUAAAUAUUCUUACAUUUUUCCUGGUCUUAUGAAGAAAGAAUUUUCUUUCACCAUUAAGUAUUAUGUUGUCUGUAGGUUUUUCACAUAUGUUCAUAGUGGGUUGAAGCACUCUCUUUUUAGUCCUAGCUGAGAGUUUUAGGUUAAGAAUAAGUAUUAUUUAUUAUUAUUAUUAUUUAUUUAUUAUUAUAAAUAAAAUACAUUUAUUACAUUAAA